UCUUGAGGAGUGGAGAACAUUGGCAUAUGAUCAGAACAUUUGAUCUCCAUUACUUCUUUUGGUGGAAAGUUCAUGAUCAUCCAACGCUGGCAUGAAAGCUGUCAAGAAGACAAUGGCAGCAACUUUACAAGGGAAAGUGUCAGCAGCAAGUGCAGCUGGUAUUCCUCCCAUGCUAUGAGCAACAAGAAUCACCUUAUCGUCAUCUGAGCCAAGCGAGCUCAGAAAUUCAAGCAAUGGUUUGCUGUAAUCCUUCAGAGUCUGAAUCUCUUUAACUUUUGUCAUGUUUGUACCCGAUGCAGCCAGAUCCACUGCUGUGACACAGUGACCUGCAUCCUCCAGCUGCGUUUUCACCUUGUACCAAGUCCAUGCGCCAUGGCACACGCUAUGGACGAGCACAAACUGCUUCUGGUGCGUCUUCUCCAUUGCCUUUUUUUACUCUCAGCAUCUUGGUUCAACACAUAUAUAUAUGGUAAGUUUCCCGCAUAUACUCUUUUGUAUAUUGACUGUUAGUUUUUGGUCGUUCUCUGAGAUCUAGAGAAUGCUAAAUGAACACUACUUUGACUGUUAGAUUUCUCAUUUCAACUAUAGUAAGCAAUAUAGUCUGAACGUUUAGAAAGAUCCAUUAUUAGGGCACAUUUAAUUGUAUCACAUUAGAUGCAAUUUUUGUUGGUGGAACUGAAGACUCCACAUGAGGUAAUUUGUUGGCCUGUUAAAGUUCGAGGUGAUUGUUUCAUUGACCAUAGUAUAGGCAAGAAUAAGUUUUGAAAAGAGAGAUUGUAAAAUUUUAGUUGAUGGAGUUAGUUGGUAGGUCGACCUCUUGAUUGAAUAUAAUCUUAGAGCACAUAAUUACUUCUUAGACCAUAAUCUUUGAGUGAGAAACUGCUUAUGUUUAUGGACCUCAAUAUAAGAACUGUUAUGUAUGUAAACAACGUCAGUGAGGAUCCUAGAUUUAUUUAGGAAAUAUUUACCUGCUAUCUUCAAAAGGGAUGAUAAUGAUAGAGUUCUUGAGGCUUUGAUAACAUGGACAUAUGAUCUGUAUCUUUGAUCUCCCAUCACUUUUUUUUUUUUUUGACAAUACCAUCACUUCUUUAACCUCCUCAGUGUUCUUGUUCUUGAUCCUUUUAUGUUGAAAAUCCCCAGACACACCUUAAUACCUUAUCCCCUUUGCCUACAAUCUAAACAAACGUGACCAGUCUCCACCUUUUCUCCUUGAAGCUUCAACUUGUCUGCAGAAUCCACGAACAAGCACAUACUGCCCCUGGUUUAUAGGCAUAUAUAUGUUCUACAUCUUCAGGUAGUGUGUAAUCCUCUUCUUACAUUCUUAUUCAUAUGAUACAACCAUUCUUUACCAAUAAUAUGAUUUGCUUAUUUCUUGUAAAUAUAAAAUGUAG